rnacentral:rRNA from 1 species
CAAUAGCGUAUAUUAAAGUUGUUGCGGUUAAAAAGCUCGUAGUUGGAUUUCUGCCGAGGACGACCGGUCCGCCCUCUGGGUGUGUAUCUGGUUUGGCCUGGGCAUCUUCUUGGAGAACGUAGCUGCACUUGACUGUGUGGUGCGGUGUCCAGGACUUUUACUUUGAGGAAAUUAGAGUGUUUCAAGCAGGCACACGCCUUGAAUACAUUAGCAUGGAAUAAUAAGAUAGGACCUCGGUUCUAUUUUGUUGGUUUCUAGAGCUGAGGUAAUGAUUAAUAGGGAUAGUUGGGGGCAUUCGUAUUUAACUGUCAGAGGUGAAAUUCUUGGAUUUAUGAAAGACGAACUUCUGCGAAAGCAUUUGCCAAGGAUGUUUUCAUUGA